UUUCAGGUCAGUGUUAGAGAGAGAAGAGGUCGCGUCUAUACCGUGGAACAAGUGGCAAGUAGUGGUGCUACUGGCGGCAUUCGCCAUCUGUCUCUUCCUGAUGUACUCCAUGGUGCCAAUCGUCAUGAAGGCAACUAGCGCCACCUCUGUGAAUCUUUCGUUACUAUCGGCCGACUUCUACUCCUUAUUGGUUGGCUACUUCGCGUUCCACUUUACCUUCCGCCUCCGCGCUCUACCUCGUCGCUUUCAUCAUCAUCAUUCUCGGCGUGUUCGUCUACUCCGCCCAGCGCACGCCCUACCACCAGGGGGCGCUCGGCCAGGCGCAGGAGCACAGCCACGAAUACUCACAUGAGAUGGAGGGACCCGAUCCGAGGUUGCCGGGCGCGC